GGGAUAACACUUGGAACCAGGUGCUAAUACCGUAUAACACUAUUUUCCGCAUGGAAGAAAGUUGAAAGGCGCUUUUGCGUCACUGAUGGAUGGACCCGCGGUGCAUUAGCUAGUUGGUGAGGUAACGGCUCACCAAGGCCACGAUGCAUAGCCGACCUGAGAGGGUGAUCGGCCACACUGGGACUGAGACACGGCCCAGACUCCUACGGGAGGCAGCAGUAGGGAAUCUUCGGCAAUGGACGAAAGUCUGACCGAGCAACGCCGCGUGAGUGAAGAAGGUUUUCGGAUCGUAAAACUCUGUUGUUAGAGAAGAACAAGGAUGAGAGUAGAACGUUCAUCCCUUGACGGUAUCUAACCAGAAAGCCACGGCUAACUACGUGCCAGCAGCCGCGGUAAUACGUAGGUGGCAAGCGUUGUCCGGAUUUAUUGGGCGUAAAGCGAGCGCAGGCGGUUUCUUAAGUCUGAUGUGAAAGCCCCCGGCUCAACCGGGGAGGGUCAUUGGAAACUGGGAGACUUGAGUGCAGAAGAGGAGAGUGGAAUUCCAUGUGUAGCGGUGAAAUGCGUAGAUAUAUGGAGGAACACCAGUGGCGAAGGCGGCUCUCUGGUCUGUAACUGACGCUGAGGCUCGAAAGCGUGGGGAGCGAACAGGAUUAGAUACCCUGGUAGUCCACGCCGUAAACGAUGAGUAUAGAGUGUUGGAGGGUUUCCGCCCUUCAGUGCUGCAGCA
rnacentral:rRNA from 1 species